rnacentral:rRNA from 1 species
UACGUAGGGGGGCUAGCGUUGUCCGGAUUUAUUGGGCGUAAAGAGCGUGUAGGCGGCCAUGUAGGUCCGGUGUGAAAACUCGAGGCUUAACCUCGAGAUGUCAUCGGAAACCAUUUGGCUAGAGUCCGGAAGAGGCGAGUGGAAUUCCUGGUGUAGCGGUGAAAUGCGCAGAUAUCAGGAGGAACACCAAUGGCGAAGGCAGCUCGCUGGGACGUGACUGACGCUGAGACGCGAAAGCGUGGGGGAUCAAGCAGG